ensembl:lncRNA
CUGUGGUAAGUAGACUUCAAACGGACUUGACACAGGUCGAUAGCGGUGAAUUCCUCCAAGGGUCUUCCUGAAGCGCACCAGGCAGGGAGACCCAACAGCAGACAAACGGUCCUGGGGACACCCAGCAGCACUGCCAGAAUGUCCAGCGGACCCGUCCCCAGCAGUAUUCGCUGGAGAUACUUAUGGAAAAUUCACUCACAGGGAACAGACGAUGUAAACCCCUUUUCUAAACGCCGAUGCAGGUGGAAGGAUAAGAACUAGCAGAUGAGAGUGGAAAGCUCUCUCCAGGAGUCUGGAGGAUACACAGGACCCCAGGAGGGCCACAGCAUAUACAGAGGCGUGAGGUAAGAGCGGCCCAGACACAUUUUCUGCAGCUUCACAGUUUUUCCAAGGAAAAACCUGAACCAGAAAGCACAGCCUCCAGAGGACGUGGUGAUGGGGAGCCUACGUUGGAGCCUCCUUCGCGCUGUCUCUCCUGGUUGGGGGAAUGACAUCAUUGACAAGUCAUCUUCAAUUACGUCAGGAGUUUCAGGGACAGGAGAGAGAGCAACAGAAUUUAAAAGGGACUGAAAGGGCAUGAGAUUAUUUGUCCUGCAGCGUCUGCCUCAGUCUGUAUUUUUCCAACCACAUCCCUAUGGUGUCAUGUGUUUAUCGUGUCUUCCUGUCUUCUGUACUCUUCUUCAUUGAGAGUUGGAUCUAGAAGCUGCAUGAGAUUCUGGUUUGACAUUUUCUGGCAAGAAUGCGUCAAAUGGUGGUGUCAGAGGCACUUAACCAUCUGGUUGUCCCUUGCUUCUGGAGGCUCCCGCUGCGGAUGAUCACUGCCGCCUCAGGACGGAGUUCCCCAACAGGCCCGAGGAGAGCGAUUGUGUGAAGGCGCCUCGGGAGACCAGCACGGCGCCUGUGGGAGACGGUGAGCCGUGCGGGAAGCAGGACCGGGAGCGAAAACCAACACCAGUGUGGCCUCGAGCGCAGCCCCGCGGAGGGCAGCUUCUGAGCAGCGCAGGCAACACCCGAC